rnacentral:rRNA from 1 species
CCUACGGGGGGCAGCAGUGAGGAAUAUUGGUCAAUGGACGAGAGUCUGAACCAGCCAAGUAGCGUGAAGGAUGACGGCCCUAGGGGUUGUAAACUUCUUUUAUAAAGGAAUAAAACGAGGCACGUGUGCCUUUUUGCAUGUACUUUAUGAAUAAGGAUCGGCUAACUCCGUGCCAGCAGCCGCGGUAAUACGGAGGCUCCGAGCGUUAUCCGGAUUUAGUGGGUUUAAAGGGAGCGUAGAUGGGUUGUUAAGUCAGGUUUGAAGGUUUGCGGCUCAACCGUAAAAUUGCAAUUGAUACUGGCAGUCUUGAGUACAGUUGAGGUAGGCGGAAUUCGUUGUGUAGCGGUGAAAUGCUUAGAUAUCACGAAGAACCCCGAUUGCGAAGGCAGCUUACUAAACUGUGACUGACAUUGAUGCUCGAAAGUGUGGGUAUCAAACAGGAUUAGAUACCCUGGUAGUC